rnacentral:rRNA from 1 species
GACGAACGCUGGCGGCGUGCUUAACACAUGCAAGUCGAACGAAAAGACGGAAAGAGCUUGCUCUUUUCAGAAUUGAGUGGCAAACGGGUGAGUAACACGUAAACAACCUGCCUUCAGGAUGGGGACAACAGACGGAAACGACUGCUAAUACCGAAUAAGUUCCAAGGGCCGCAUGGCCCAUGGAAGAAAAGGUGGCCUCUACCUGUAAGCUAUCGCCUGAAGAGGGGUUUGCGUCUGAUUAGCUGGUUGGAGGGGUAACGGCCCACCAAGGCGACGAUCAGUAGCCGGUCUGAGGGGAUGAACGGCCACACUGGAACUGAGACACGGUCCAGACUCCUACGGGAGGCAGCAGUGGGGAAUCUUCCGCAAUGGGCGAAAGCCUGACGGAGCAACGCCGCGUGAGUGAUGACGGCCUUCGGGUUGUAAAACUCUGUGAUCCGGGACGAAAAGGCAGAGUGCGAAGAACAAACUGCAUUGACGGUACCGGAAAAGCAAGCCACGGCUA